AUUUUGGUCUUGAUUGUAGAGAUGUGGUUGAUUGAAAACUAUUUUUUUCUUUUUCGAAACCAAUUUCACAAAAAAAAAAAUGGUAGACUGUUUUGUGUAUUCAUGGAUUUUCCACACAGGGCAUCGACGUUGGUUUUGUGAGUUAGUUGACAUCUUUGCAAUACAACAGUAACAAUUUUCUUACAUUUUUUAAAGGUAUAUCUUAUUGAUGCUUUGCUUUUUAUUCUCAAUCACUCAUUAGAUUAUCCGUUCAACUUCCAACCUAUUAUAAACUGCGUCGUUAGAAUUAUUAUACUGAUCAUUCAAUAUCAUACACAUUUCUAGUAUAUAUUUUUCCUGUUGCAAAAGCAUUAUCUGUUUAUCGUAAUAAACUAUCGUGAUUUUAUGUUUCUUCGUUUUGUCGAGUAAAACUUCAAAAUAACCAUCAUCCUCACUUACGAUCUCAUCCUCAUGUGCGAAUUUCUCAUCUGACAAUCUAUGAAAAUGUCUUUAUUUCUGUUAGUAGCAACUGGAUCUACUCGUAUGUUUUGCUUUGAUUUUAUAGGAUAGCAAUGGUUUACCUCCAAAAGUUAAGUGUUUUCUGCGUCCUUGUAAGUCAACGGAAAUUUUUUUAAGCAAUUACAGCGCAUAAUAUUCAUAAACGUAUCUCUAGGCUUUUUUCUGUCAUAAAUUAUAAAUUUAAUGUAGGAUCAUAACCAAAUUGCGACUUAUAAAGAAUGCAACAGAUAAUAUACCGCAAUCACUAUAAUUCCCCUGGUGAUGGACAGUAGGAGAAGUAACGCAUUCAGUUUCUGCCGGAAACAAAUUAUCUGGACCCAUCUGUCGUUAUCUAUAUCAUUAUAAGUAUAACUGGGCAGAACUGUAAUCUGCUUGAAGCAAAAUGGAAAAUGUUUUAAAGUUUGACAUUUUAUCAUUGUCUCCAAAUGAGAUUUCAUUUUGGUCAUAUAUUAUUUUUGGGACCUCAAUUUCCAAAGCAGACUGGUUGCAUUGCAUUGCAAUGCAAUGCAAUGAAUAUACGUUGGGACUGAUGAGCUGCAUUCCAUGUGUUUAAUAAUAAUUAAUUUAUUGGCAUUCAUAUGAUGUGGAAACAAAUAACUCAAAUGUUCGAUUCUCUUAUCAUAGGUUAAUGUCUAAGUCAUCUGAUCAUAACUAAUAAUAGACUGCAAAUUUUAAUAUACGCAUAUCCAGUGCUCGAUCAGACCUUCAUUUGUAAGAGGAAUAAUUUCAAUAUAUGUUUUGGUUUCAUUUAAUGAUUGUGUAAUAGUUUCCAAGUUGUGCAAAACUCGAAAUUUAGAGCACCUUUGACUAGUUCUUUAAAAGAAAUAAUAUAUUGCAAUGCGUCCUCACAUUUGGAACGUUCUUCAUAAGGUUGAUUCUGUGAGGUAUUCUCUCAAUUUUUAUAUGGACUCAUAAAUAAUAUAUUCCCGAUUUAGACCAAAGUGUAGAGAUAUUGUACUUGCAAUAGCAUAAAUUCCACAGUCAACACAUCCUAGUUUUUGAUAAUGAAUAUUGGGAAAUUGAACAACACCCCCUUUAAAAAAAUAACUAGGAAAUAGUUUAUGCAAGACAGUAUCAUAAUUUAUGGAGCCGGCUUUUUUUGUUGCCGAAUCUGCUAUGAAAAUAUUUUGAGUGUCAUAGUAGCUACAAACCCAAUGUCCCAUUCCACUUAUAUUCAUGAAACUCAAAGAUUUGAAUAAUAUUUGUAUAUGUUGUAUAUGUUUAAUGUUUAUGGUUGGAAUUAAAAUAAUAAUAAUAUAACUGUAACAAAUGCAACCAAGGUUACGCAUGAAUCAACUCGGUAUUGCAAAAUCGAAAAACUGGUAAAUUCGAACGAUCUCCAUAUAAAAUGCAUGUAAAUACAUAAUAGUACAUAAUAUGUAUCUCUCUCUUCCCUCUAUUCUACGACAUCGAGCCGCCGUAAACCACAGAAAGCUCUCUAGCGAGAGCUAUCGAUAUGUUUAUAAAAUGAAUAAUUUUAUUUAUAUUUUUUUUAAUGUUAUUUAGUAUUUACAUUACAUGCCUAAACCUUAUAUUUUAUAUUUUAAAAAUUUUUAAUAUUUUUAAUUUAAAUUUUUAUAAUAAUUUAUUAUACAGAGACACGAAAGCAACACUACAGAAACAAAAUAAUAAAAAGAGAGGAGGAAGCCGCAAGGAAAAAAGCUGAAGCUGAAGAGGAAGCAGAAAGAGCAAGCACUGAAGCUGAAGAGGAAGCAGAAAGAGCAACCACUAAAGCUGAGGGAGCCGAUUUAUUAACAGCUCUAGGUGGAAAAAAGGAUCUAGAGGAAAUUGAAAGUA